AUGGAUAAUCCUCUAAGUCAGAUCCUUCACCACCAGACAUAUCCUAUCAUUAUAAAAAGUCACUCAUUUAUUUUGUUUGAAAUAAAACGCCGAUUACUUAAGAAAGAACAAAAAAUUUAAGCAGUUCCUUUUGUUCUUAGGCUAAGAAGCACCGAUACGGGUACGAGUAUCCGGAUACGAUGCGAUCGGAUACGUGGAUACGACAAAUCUUAAAUGUAAUUGGAUACGGAUACGCGAAGGAUACGUCAAUUAAAUAUAUAUAUAUAUAUAUAUUAAAUGUAUAUAUAUAAUUAGAAAGAAAAAAAUUAUGAAACAUAAACAAAGUACUAGUUUAUCACAAUCAAAAAUUAUCAAUCCAAAGGUCCAAAGGUCCAAAGGUUCAAAUAAAAGGUUAAAACAACAAAUAACAACUUUGGGACUUCAUUCAAUUUGGACAACAUCCUCAAGGUCUUCAUCUUCAUCAUGAUCAACAUUAAACAAAACUCCCUCUAAUUGUGGUUCAUCAAGUGAAAGGUCAGCAAUCUUUAAUGGGAUAUUGACAAUUCAAUGUAUGACUUGACCGACAAAGUAUCAUUAUCACAAUUCAAUGUAUACAUUUCUGAUUUCUUUAAUGGGAUAUUGACAUAUUGUUUAAAUUUUUUAACCGACAAACUAUCAUUAAUUCAUUAUCCUUUUAUCAUCAAACCAUAAAACCAAACAACCCAUAUAUCCUUAAUUCCUUAUCCUUUAAUCAUCGAAUCCAGCCAACCAUCAGACCCUCCUAGUCGGCAAAAAAAAAAGAAGACAAAAACCAUCAGACCCCGCCCUUACUGAGUACCCCAA